UGCCCUAUCGUCUAAUGGCAGGACAGCAGACUCUGGAUCUGCGUGUUGAGGUUCGAGUCCUCAUAGGGCAGCAA
rnacentral:tRNA from 1 species